rnacentral:rRNA from 1 species
UUCCGUUGAUCCUGCGGAAGGUUGCUGCUAUUGGGAUUCGAUUAAGCCAUGCAAGUCUAGGGCUCUUUCGAGAGCACUGGCGAACUGCUCAGUAACACGUCAAUAAUCUGCCCUUAGGUCUAGAAUAACUUCGGGAAACUGAAGCUAAAACUGGAUAGGAAAAAAGUACUGGGAUGUCUUUUUUCUUAAAAGUAAUGCCUAAGGAUGAGUUGGCGGACGAUUAGGUAGUUGGUGAGGUCAAGGCUCACCAAGCCGAAGAUCGAUAGGGGCCUUGAGAGAGGUAGCCCCGAGAAGGACACUGAGAUACUGGUCCUAGCCCUACGGGGUGCAGCAGGCGCGAAACCUUUACAAUGCACGCAAGUGUGAUAAGGGAAUCCUGAGUGCUUUACUUAUGUAAGGCUUUUGCCAAGAGUAAAUAUCUUGGCGAAUAAGUGGUGGGAAAGACUGGUGCCAGCAGCCGCGGUAAUACCAGCGCCACAAGUGGCAAUCGUCAUUAUUGGGCCUAAAGCGUCCGUAGCCGGUUUAGUAAGUCUUUUGUGAAAUUGUUGUGCUUAACACAACACUGUGCAAAAGAUACUGUUAAACUUGGAACUGGGAGGAGUUAGGGGUAUUCCAAGGGGAGCGGUAAAAUGCUAUAAUCCUUGGAGGACCACCGGUGGCGAAAGCGCCUAACUAGAACAGAUUCGACGGUGAGGGACGAAAGCCAGGGGAGCAAACCGGAUUAGAUACCCGAGUAGUCCUGGCCAUAAACGCUGUGAGCUAGGUGUUGCAUAUUCUAUAUGAAUGUGCAGUGUCGGAAUGAAGAUGAUAAGCUCACCGCCUGGGAAGUACGGUCGCAAGGCUGAAACUUAAAGGAAUUGGCGGGGGAGCACCACAAGGGGUGCGGCGUGCGGUUUAAUCUAAUUCAACGCAGAGAAUCUCACCAUGAGCGACGGCAGGAUGAUGGUCAGUCUAAAGGGCUUACCUGACGAGCCGAGAGGUAGUGCAUCCGUCGUCAGCUCGUGCUGUAAAGUGUCCUGUUAAGUCAGGCAACGAGCGAGACCUGUGCCUACAAUUGCUAACAACUCUUAGAGAAUUGAGCACAUUGUAGGAACUGCCUUCGAAAGAAGGAGGAAGGCGCAGGCUACGGUAGGUCUGUAUGCUCCGAAUCUUAUGGGCUACACGCGCGCAACAAUGGUAAGAACAAUGGGAUGCAACUCUGAAAAGAGAAGCUAAUCCUCGAAAUCUUAUCUUAGUACGGAUUGAGGACUGUAAUUCGUCCUCAUGACGCUGGAAUCCCUAGUAAUCGGACGUCAACAUCGUCCGGUGAAUAUGUCCCUGCUCCUUGCACACACCGCCCGUCAAACCAUCCGAGCAGGGUUUGGGUGAGACUUGACUUUUAGUCAAGCCGAAUCUAAACUCAGUGAGGCGGGUUAAGUCGUCACAAGGUA